rnacentral:rRNA from 1 species
CUCGACAACGGAUAUCUCGGCUCUCGCAUCGAUGAAGAACGUAUUGAAAUGCGAUACUUGGUGUGAAUUGCAGAAUCUCAUGAACCAUCAAGUUUUUGAACGCAAGUUGCGCCCAGAGCCUUCUGGCUGAGGGCACAUCUUCCUGGGCAUCACG